CUGACACAGGUGCUGCAUGGCCGUCGUCAGCUCGUGUCGUGAGAUGUUGGGUUAAGUCCGUAACGAGCGCAACCCUUGUCCUUAGUUACCAGCACGUUAUGGUGGGCACUCUAAGGAGACUGCCGGUGACAAACCGGAGGAAGGUGGGGGAUGACGUCAAGUCAUCAUGGCCCUUACGGCCUGGGCUACACACGUGCUACAAUGGUCGGUACAAAGGGUUGCCAAGCCGCGAGGUGGAGCUAAUCCCAUAAAACCGAUCGUAGUCCGGAUCGCAGUCUGCAACUCGACUGCGUGAAGUCGGAAUCGCUAGUAAUCGUGAAUCAGAAUGUCACGGCGAAUACGUUCCCGGGCCUU
rnacentral:rRNA from 1 species